GGGAUGUCCUUUUUUGAUGCUGACGUCUGGGAUCAUGAAACUCCACGUCCAUGAUAGUGAUGGCCUGGUUUGGUUUCCUGGGCUGCACAUGGGCUGAGAUCUUCACAUCUGUUGGGCACAUGGCUGGCUUAGUUUCUGUGGAAGAACAACUGGUCCAGCCCCUGAAAGAAUAUAUCCUUUUGGAUGAAGCCAAACUAUCUAUAAUGAUAAGCUGGGCUGAGAAAAGAGAUGCACUGAACCUUGUAAUACCUAAAGACAAGGAAGACUUGGGAAAGUUAGUGGAUGUGUACAAGGUGCUGAAGCAUCUAAAUCAAGAUGGGUCAUUAGCAGAGAGCUUUGUCUUCCAGGACCCAUCCAUUGGUGAGCUGAGCUGUGUGUGUCUGCGUGUGUGCACAUCUGUGCAUGUGCACACUUGGGUGUACACAUGUGUACAUGAGCUUUCCCUUAUAUUUCUGAACCUCUUUCUGAGCUUGUGAGGGUAUUUAAGAAUGUAUUCCUUGAAACCUUAUUA